UGGGAAAGGACCGAGUAAUGUAAACGGAGGUUUCAUUAGCGAUGAUAUGUGGCAGUCCCCGGGUGAAGGAAGAGAAAGCAAAUCUGGGAGCACCUGUAAACUUUGGCACCCAUGUGCUGAGGGCCACAACGGGAUCUGUUCUUCACCCCCAGGAUCCCCUCGUGCCUCGUAAUGGCAGGGCAGGUUUGGAUGCAGGAGGGACAGCCAGGGGGUCGGGCUCUGCUUCCAAAUAACGAGACAGGACAAGAGGAAAUGGCCUCAAGCCGUGCCAAGGAAAGUUUAGACUGAAUAUUCGGGCAAAUUUCCUCAUGGAAAGGGUUGCCCUGCUGCCCAGGGCAGUGGCGGAGUCCCCAUCGCUGGAGCCAUUUAAAAGCUGUGUGGAUGUGGCAUUUGGGGACAGAGUUUAGUCGUAGCCUUGGCAGCGCUGGGGGAACAGUGGGAUUCGGUGACCCGGGAGGGUUUUUCCCAGGUCCAUGACCCCGUUUGCAGGGCUGAGGGGCGGCCGGCGGCGCGCCCGGGCCUGUCCCCUCACGGCCCGGCGGCGCUGGGAGCGCGGGCUGCGCGGGCCGCGGGGGGCCCCUGCCGGGGGCGGCCGCUCACUGCACCCGGCCCACAGCGGAGCCAGCUCCUGCUCCGGGGAGUUACUGCGCGGAGUGUUUGUUUGCGUUUAAGGCAGUCUUUUCAACUCAAAAAACAUCGGAUGACUUUUUUUUUUUUUCCCCGGUGUAUUGAAGAACACGCUUCAUGUAUUUACCUGCAUACACUGCUAAUUAAGCCCAUCCCAUUAACACCUUGAUCCCAUGUUUUCCCAUGUCCUUGCCCCAAAUUGGGUUGGAAAGCCACACAUGGAUAGGAAGCGGCACCAGAUCUCCAGGAGCAUUGUUUCCAAUCUUCCUGCAGUCACUGACUUUCCAGGACUGAUGCUGCUGUACAUGCAUAAUGACACAGAAAGCCUAGAGGAUAGUUUUACCAUGCAGCUGACAGAUGGCAAGCGCACAGUCCAAGGGACACUUUACAUCUACAUCAUGCCAGUCAACGAUGAAAUCCCUCAUCUUUCCAGGUUAGCUAUCUAAGUGACAUUCGGUGCAUAAAGACUUACAAAGGAAAAAGAAAGAAAGAAAUGAGAGGAAUCAUCUCAACACCAGCAUCUCCAAGGCCACCCACAUUACAGAGGAGAUCUGGCUUCCAUUGCAUGGGUUGUCCCUGAAAGCUGGUUCAUAACAAAGCUGUGCACUCUGCUGCCUAGUGCAGGACUGUGACAAGUCACAUAAUACCAUCCAACAAAAACCAUUCAUGCAGAAAAAGC
rnacentral:lncRNA from 12 species